rnacentral:rRNA from 1 species
UGAACGCUAGCUACAGGCUUAACACAUGCAAGUCGCGGGGCAGCAUGUCGGUUGCUUGCAACCGAUGAUGGCGACCGGCGCACGGGUGAGUAACGCGUAUCCAACCUGCCCUUCACCACGGAAUAAUCCAGUGAAAAUUGGUCUAAUACCGUAUGAGGUCAUACGAUGGCAUCAGAAUAUGACGAAAGGUUUGGCGGACAUGGAUGGGGAUGCGUCCGAUUAGCUUGUUGGCGGGGUAACGGCCCACCAAGGCGACGAUCGGUAGGGGUUCUGAGAGGAAGGUCCCCCACAUUGGAACUGAGACACGGUCCAAACUCCUACGGGAGGCAGCAGUGAGGAAUAUUGGUCAAUGGACGAGAGUCUGAACCAGCCAAGUAGCGUGCAGGAUGACGGCCCUAUGGGUUGUAAACUGCUUUUAUAGGGGAAUAAAGUGAGCCACGUGUGGUUUAUUGCAUGUACCCUAUGAAUAAGGACCGGCUAAUUCCGUG